ensembl:lncRNA
AUGACUGAUAUUCAACCUGGGAUGGCUGUGAAUACGAAUGUAAGGAAAACAGAUGCAAGGGGGACUGCCACGGGAAAACCAAGAUGUAUCCACGAGACCCUGCUAGAUCUGGCUGCAGCCCCAACUCUCCCUGUCCCCAUCUGCCCACCUUGCUCCAGAUUAGACAUUUCUGGACCUGGCAACGGAACCUCUGUUAGGGCUGAAACUAAAGACAACAAUGAUUCUGACCCAGGAGCCUGGGCUCUAAACUCUUUGGGAAGUGGGCCCACUUUCCACACGGACAAACGAACGGCAGCUCAUGAACAAAGAGGCACAGGAAGAGGGAAGGGGGUCAGGGAAGGUGACAUUUCCCGAGUGCCCACGCAAGGCCUGGAUCGCCACAUGCUUCAAUUCAUUUAUGAACAGCCACUAGAGGAACACGGUGACACUGAGGUGGAGAGAAAGAAACGAGCGUUUUGGCAGUGGAUGGGGUCUGGGGGUGCUGACAGCUGAGCCAUUCCAUGCACCUUUGGAGCAAAGAACUGCCGGAAACCAGGGCCAAGUUCAGAGCCUGAAAUUUUUUGAAAGGCAACAAGGAGAAACCUGGGGGGCCUGAUCACACAUUACAUAAGCCGUAUGUGAGCGGAGGAUGCCACCGAUGCGAGGAACCCAGUACCUGUCAGAAUUGCGCAAGUUUUACGCAGAAGCACUUAAGUGUUGCAACAUGACUCCACAUCUUUACCAAAAAUGUGAAACAUCCACCCAGCACACACUUUAAAAACACUAAAGGUCCUCUCCACCAGGUGGCUAAGGCUGCUUGAUGAGGCUGACAGGAGAGGAGCUUUGCAGGGGGCCUGACUUACUGUAGCUCUUGGCCCAGGGAGCUGAACACGCAGUACUUUGCACCCCAAUAGCCUUGGGCAGCCCAAGCCUCUGAUAAAAUGUACUUUUUUGUGUGUUUGUUUUUCCUGGCAGUCUCAUUUUGGGUUAUAAAUGGCUCAUUAUUUCCAUCCCAUAGAUCCAUUCUUGCCUCUGUUGCGUUCUCUUUCAGCUUUCCAAAAUAACCGAAAGGUUGGUAAAAUCAACGCUGGCGAACGGCUUGUUCUGACCUUGAGCAGAGGCCGAAUUUCCACAUUGCUCAAGCCAUCUACGGUUGCUCCUGUGUCCGAGAGGCUGGCUGGAAAGGCCUCCUGAAAGCAGGGGAUAUAAUUAUACUUACACUAAAGCACUUGUUGCCAUUAAAUGCCAGGAAGUGGCAUGGACCUUCCCUUGCUCCUGCCCUGCAACCUUUUUGGAGGACUAUUGGGCAAUCAUCAGAGGUUAUAGAGUUGGAACAGCAUUCCCCCCAGAUAGGUCAUUUUCCCUGCAGGACAGCUUGGAGGCAAAUUUUAUUGAGUAUCAAGUAGCUGACCCAAAGCAGUAUAAAUAGCGAGAGAGCAUAUGACAAACCCAGAAAUGAAUGUGGUUAAACCCCAGGCUGAAGAUAUAUAAUGUGUUUACUAUUAUCAGCACCUGCAUGAAAAUAUUUUUACCCAGUAGCCUUCCAGGAAAAGAUGAAACAUGUAAGUGAUGUUAUUAAGGCUUAAUCGUAGAAAAAUAAUUUUGACCCUACUUUUGGAAGUCUGUGGGCCACAGAGUUAAUUUGGGGAAGGGACCUGAGGAUAGGUUGGAUGUAACUGGGUGUCAUAGGAGGUACAGACGGACCCUGA